rnacentral:tRNA from 1 species
GCGCGCUUAGCUCAGGGGUAGAGCAGCUCGUUUACACCGAGAAGGCCGGGGGUUCAAAUCCCUCAGCGCGCA